rnacentral:rRNA from 1 species
CAUGCAGGCGGUUACAUAAGUCAGGUGUGAAAUCCCCGCGCUUAACGUGGGCAUUGCAUUUGAAACUAUGUAGCUAGAGUUCUGUAGAGGGGGGUAGAAUUCCAGGUGUAGCAGUGAAAUGCACAGAUAUGUGGAGGAAUACCGAUGGCGAAGGCAGCCCCCUGGGAUAAUACUGACGCUCAGGCACGAAAGCGUGGGGAGCAAACAGGAUUCGAUACCCCGGUA